AUAUUCGGAACAUCUUCUUCAGAAGAUGCGGAAUAACGUGACAUAUUGUAUUCAGUUUUGAAUGUUUAUUUAACAUUCAAAUAUUUUUUGGUUAAAGUGAUAUUCCUUUUGAAAAUAAAGCAGUAUGCGAGCGCUUGACUAAAAAGAAAUUGUACAUUGAAAACUAGAUAAGUAAGUAAAAUAUAGAUUUUACCAAGCAAAACCGAGUGAAUAAAGAGUUUUAAAUAAGCUUGAAUUCAUAAGAAAUAAUCGCUAGUGUUCGAAAGAACACUCACAAGAUUAAUAACGCGUUUAAAUCUUUUUAUAAAAGAACGUAACUUCAUGUUAACGUUUGACUUAUAAAAAUGGUGGAAACAUAGAUUAAGUUAUUAAGGGCGCACGGUGGAUGCCUUGGCACUAGAAGCCGAUGAAGGACGUNCAACGCGAAGAACCUUACCAAAUCUUGACAUCCUUUGACAACUCUAGAGAUAGAGCCUUCCCCUUCGGGGGACAAAGUGACAGGUGGUGCAUGGUUGUCGUCAGCUCGUGUCGUGAGAUGUUGGGUUAAGUCCCGCAACGAGCGCAACCCUUAAGCUUAGUUGCCAUCAUUAAGUUGGGCACUCUAAGUUGACUGCCGGUGACAAACCGGAGGAAGGUGGGGAUGACGUCAAAUCAUCAUGCCCCUUAUGAUUUGGGCUACACACGUGCUACAAUGGACAAUACAAAGGGCAGCGAAACCGCGAGGUCAAGCAAAUCCCAUAAAGUUGUUCUCAGUUCGGAUUGUAGUCUGCAACUCGACUACAUGAAGCUGGAAUCGCUAGUAAUCGUAGAUCAGCAUGCUACGGUGAAUACGUUCCCGGGUCUUGUACACACCGCCCGUCACACCACGAGAGUUUGUAACACCCGAAGCCGGUGGAGUAACCUUUUAGGAGCUAGCCGUCGAAGGUGGGACAAAUGAUUGGGGUGAAGUCGUAACAAGGUAGCCGUAUCGGAAGGUGCGGCUG
rnacentral:rRNA from 1 species